ACCGAUGAGGGGGCCGGAGCCCUUGAGGCUGGUGGCCUCGUCGAUCUGCUGUUGGAGGAACUGCGGUUCGGGCGGUGCGUUGGCG
rnacentral:tRNA from 1 species